rnacentral:rRNA from 1 species
UACGGGGGGAGCAAGCGUUGUUCGGAUUUACUGGGCGUAAAGGGCGCGUAGGCGGUCAGCACAAGUCAGUUGUGAAAUCUCCGGGCUUAACUCGGAAAGGUCAACUGAUACUGUGCGACUAGAGUGCGGAAGGGGCAACUGGAAUUCUCGGUGUAGCGGUGAAAUGCGUAGAUAUCUGGAGGAAUACCGGUGGCGAAGGCGGCAUCCUGGACCGGCAUUGACGCUGAGGAGCGAAAGCCAGGGGAGCAAACGGG